GUUAAAAUGUAUGCCGGUAAACAUUUCCUAUAUAAGCUUUUGCUAGCUCAUUAGUGGCAUAAUAAACAGAAAUCUGUGGUUGAUCUGUUCUAUAAGAAGAUGUUUCGUUUGGCCGUAACUUUGAUGGCAGUUAUUGCUGCGGCGACAUUUACAUGUUCAAUAUCAGUAGAAGGUGACAGUAUAAAACGUGCAGAUACUCCAUGCAUGAGGGGAAGUGACUGUACUAAAUGUGGAAUAUUAGAUUACUGUUGCCCCGGCAACUGUUAUCAGUUUAAAACGAUAACACCUACCGAAUGUACAUGUCCAUGAGUAUAACAAAACAAAGAAAGCGAAAACCUGAUUAUUUCUUUAUAUUGCUCCAUUAGCUGUAAAUAAACAUUAUCUAACGACCA